rnacentral:sRNA from 17 species
GUCAGAAACCCCAUGCCUAAAGAUAGGGUCUUAAAAAACCUUAAUCUGACCAGACUAAGUACCUUGCGUACUACGUUAGAGGUAAGAGUCUAAAGCUAGG